rnacentral:rRNA from 1 species
AUGAGGUGGAAGCUAGAGCUAGAUCAGGGGCUAUGCAUCUACAACUCAUCUAUUCAUCUUGUCGGAGCUACUGGCUGCACAAUAGUAGCUUUGAACAACAAGCAAUUGGCUCCGAACGAGAUGCCACAAUCAAAACUUAUCGUGGAUAUGUGUGGUGGGAUUCCCAAACUAAUUGUGGCUAUUGGCAAUCACUCCCUCGUGUCCCCUUCCUUUUUGAAUAAUCUGAAUGAUGAUUUUAUUGGAAAGUUGGAGACCGAUCCGGGAUUCCAUGGCUUAAGAGAUCUACUCUCCUGGAUGCAUUCCUACUUUGAUGCUUGCUCCGAUUCACUGAAACCUUGCAUCUUCUAUCUGUCAAUUUUCUCUGCCGACCAGAAUAUUAGACGGAAGCGUUUGCUAAGGCGGUGGAUUGCAGAGGGUUACUGCUGGGACACAUUUAAUAGUACAGCAGAGCAAAACGGGGACAGGCUAUUCUCAGAGCUUGUUGGCUUGAGCAUAAUCCAGUACAUCACAUAUUUACUAAGCAUGAAGAACCAGUGCCAAGUCAAUGGUUUUUUCCAUGAGUACAUCAUCUCACGGCCAAUGGAGGAUAACCUUGUCUUUGCACUGGAGGGGUGUUGUGGCCUAAACUCGCAACGCGGAGGACAAAACCUCACCUUAAGGCAAAACUGGGACAUGGACAUGAAUGUAUUUGAGAACAUCGACUUCUCACGGCUACGAUCUUUGACUGUGUUUGGAGAUUGGAGUCCAAUGUUCAUCUCAAAAAAUAUUCAGAUGAGAUUUCUUCGGGUGCUGGAUCUGCAGGACACAUCAGGGCUGCAGACUCUAGAUAUCAGACACACCUCCAUAGCCACGCUUCCACCAGCUAUCAUCAAGCUGCAGAGAUUGCAGUAUAUUCGUGCUGGCACAACUACUAAACCUUUUGAUGAAGGUGGCACGGUCCCAAGCCUACCAGCAACAGAUGAGGACAUGACACCAGCAAUAGCAGAAAAUCAUGGUGAACCUGAAGCCACAGCACCAGCACCAGCAGAACAUGGUGAUGACAAAGCGACGGUAACAACACUAGUAGAAGAUGUUGAUGGCAUGGCCCCAAGCCAACCAGCAACAGCAGCAGCAGCAGAAGGCGUGGUUCAUACAUUAACAAGGUCAAGGAGCAGAAGACAUACUUUGUUAUCUAGCAGGUUGUCUAAGCUCUGCCAGAGGCAUGGACUACUUGAUAAUGGGGGUGUCGAGCUUCCUGCAGGGUUUGGGAACCUGAUGGCCUUGCAUACUCUUGGUGUUAUCAAUGUCAGUGGGGCAGGUGGAAAGGCCAUCCUUAAGGAGCUCAAGAAACUUACUCAACUGCGCAAGAUCGGGCUGCGCGGUGUCAAUCAAGAAAACUGGAAGGAAUUCUGUUCUGUCAUCUCAGGCCACGGCCAUCUGGAAUCUUUGUCGGUGCAUGUCGACAAGGAUAAGGAGGAAUGUUCUUUCUAUUGUUUUGAUGAUAUCUCCCAGCCACCCAAGACAUUAAAGAGCCUUAAAUUGCACGGGCAUGUGCGCACUAUGCCUGGAUGGAUCAAGCAGCAUCAUUAUCUCGAAAAGUUAUAUCUUGAGAUGACCAUAUUCAGCCAAGAGGACGUGCACGUCUUUGAUGACUUCAAAGAAUCUGUAUUGCAUCGUCUAUUAGUCAGGCCGAUUCAAGAUGGUGAGCUUCACUUUAGCCUAUCGCCGCAUGAUCAUUCCUUCUACAACUUCAAGGUCCUGGAGAUAUAUUGCACCUCCAGGUUAAAGGUAACCUUUGGACCUUGGAUGGCGGGAUCUGUUCGUCUGCUUCUGGUCCACUGCUCUAGUGGGUCAUCUUUCCAGAUAUCUGGGCUAUGCGAACUACAGAGUCUCGAGGAGGUGUGGCUCAAGGGUUCAUAUAGCAAUGCACUCAAGAAAGACUUACAGAAACAACUUUCCGAGCACCCAUGCAAACCCGUGUUGAAGCUGGUGCAACCACGUUCGUCCUGA